AUGAACCGCAGCUGCCAGGUGAGGUAUGUGGCCUGGGUCCGCUGCGGCAUGGCCAAAGAGACACCAGACAAGGUAGAGCUGAGUAAAGAAGAAGUAAAACGUCUCAUUGCUGAGGCAAAGGAGAAAUUGCAAGAAGAAGGUGGGUGGUGGCAUUGAUGAAGAGGAGACAGGCAGUCCUUCAGAAGAUGGCAUGCAGAGUGCACGCACCCAGGCACGCCCAAGAGAGCCCCUGGAGGAUGGUGACCCAGAGGACGACAGGACGCUCAUUGAUGAUGAGCUAAGUACGACUUAUAUAAAUAUGAUGAGGAAGAUGACCCAGAUGCUGAGACUCUUGGUGAAUCUCUCUUGGGUCUUACGGUCUACGGGAGUAAUGAUCAAGAUCCUUACGUUACUCUGAAAGAUACAGAACAAUAGGAACUUGAAGAUUUCUUGCUUAAGCCCAGUGAUAAUCUCAUAGUUUGUGGCCGAGCUGAACAGGACCAGUGCAAUUUAGAGGUGCAUGUUUAUAAUCAAGAAGAAGACUCUUUUUGUGUACAUCAGGAUAUACUCUUGUCUGCAUAUCCUCUGAGUGUGGAAUGGCUGAAUUUUGAUCCUAGCCCAGAUGAUUCUACUGGAAAUUACAUUGCUGUAGGAAACAUGACCCCUGUUAUUGAAGUGUGGGACCUUGAUAUAGUGGACUCUUUAGAGCCAGUCUUCACACUCGAAAGUAAACUUUCAAAAAAGAAGAAAAAGAAAGGAAAGAAGAGUUUCUCAGCAGAAGGGCAUACCGAUGCUGUUCUUGACCUUUCAUGGAAUAAGCUAAUCAGAAAUGUUUUAGCAAGUGCGUCAGCGGACAACACUGUAAUUGUGGGAUAUGUCCUUGGGGAAACCAGCAGCUAGCCUCACUAUACAACAGACAAGGUCCAAACGCUGCAGUUUCAUCCAUUUGAAGCACAGACUCUGAUUUCUGGCUUUGUAUGACUGCCGAAGUCCAGAUGAAAGCCACCGAAUGUGGCGAUUCAGUAGGCAGAUAGAGUGACUUGGAAUCACUUUUCACCUUGUCAUUUUUUGGCCAGUACAGAUGAUGGCUUUGUGUAUAAUUUGGAUGCAGGUUCAGAUAAGCCAAUUUUUACACUUAAUGCGCACAAUGAUGAAAUCUCUGGUCUUGAUCUUAGCAGUCAAAUCAAGGGCUGUCUCGUGACUGCUUCAGUUGACAAAUAUGUGAAGAUCUGGGACAUCUUAGGAGAUAGGCCAAGUCUAGUUCAUUCUAGGGACAUGAAAAUGGGAGUUCUCUUCUGUUCUUCAUGUUGCCCUGAUUUGCCAUUUAUUUAUGCCUUUGGAGGUCAAAAAGAAGGGCUUUGGGUCUGGGAUAUAAGCACAGUCUCUUCGGUAAAUGAAGCAUUUGGAAGACGAGAGAGGCAUGUUCUCAGGAGUGCAAGAAAUUCAUCUAUUAGUGGCCCUUUUGGUAGCAGGAGCUCAGACACACCCAUGGAGUCUUAAUGAAGAUCAUCUAAUUUCCCAUUUACCUUAACUGGGAAUUUUGAAAAGUUGGCCUAAAAAUGUUCCAUAUGUGGCAGCAACCAUGCAGAGUGACUGAAACACAAUUCAUUUCUGACUGCCUGAUAUUCCUUUCUGCAACUGUGGUGGCACCACAAACAGAGCUGGUCUUUGUGCUUGCUCUUCAAAUGGAUGGUUUGUAAGGCUCUUGUUGCAUUUCUUAAAAGAGUAAUAAAAAGGAUUU